GAAUGGAAAGAGAGAGGGAAAAGGUUCUUGAUUUUCUUUGACUUCUCUUUUAUAUGAACUUUCUGUAUCAAAAGUAUGUACAUUAAUACCUUUUUCAAGCAUAUUGCCAGUUUUUCCCAUUGCACUAAUGAAAUGCUUAAUGGAGCAUAUUAAAAACUCAGGAGAUAAUGCCUUGUUUGGUUUUCGUCCUUGUCACAACCUGAGUUCAGCAGCUUGCCAUACUUGUUCCUUUUUUUCCUUCUUCAUGGUAAAGCUUGCAUAGGCCAUACAUUUUAGGGAAAAGUAGCUGCAUUUUCAUGACUUUCUUAUGUAACAUAGCAUAGACAUUCUCAAUUUAUAUCACUCCAUUGGCAUUCCAUUCUCAGAAGAAUAACACUGCCAGCUAGUGCAACAAAUGUAGUAUGAAAAAGAAAUAGACAAUCUAAUAGGAGAUUACAGUAAUAGAUAAACAUGGUGGCUUGAUGCAUAAUCUUUCUUUCCAUGAGGCUGUCUUAAACUCUAUGAUGCAUCUAUUGUGUCCGAAGUUUGUAAUUUAACCUUUUAUUCAAGCUUUAUCAUAGAAACAUGGAUUGUUUCAUACAUAUCUGGUACUUACUGAUACAUUGAUGAACACAGAGUUUAAUUUCCAAAUAUAAUCUCCACAAUUCAA
rnacentral:misc_RNA from 1 species